AAAGUCGUAACAAGGUUUCCGUAGGUGAACCUGCGAAAGGAUCAUCAUUAAAUCCAUUUAUACACCCUUGUGAACUGUGCGCUGAAGAUGCUACGCUUGUCGUGCAUCUUUCGUUGCAAAAACAACUUAAUUUAAUAAAGCUGAAGCAAUUAUUUUAAAUAAAACAACUUUCAACAAUGGAUCUCUUGGCUCUC
rnacentral:misc_RNA from 1 species